rnacentral:rRNA from 1 species
AUUGAACGCUGGCGGCAUGCCUAACACAUGCAAGUCGAACGAGGGGCGGACGGGUGGGUAAUGUGUGGGAAACUGCCUGAUGGAGGGGGAUAACUACUGGAAACGGUAGCUAAUACCGCAUACCAUCGGAUGUGCCCAGAGGGGAUUAGCUAGUAGGUGGGGUAAAGGGUCACAGGGGCGACGGUCCCUAGCUGGUCUGAGAGGCUGACCAGCCACAUUGGAACUGAGACACGGUCCAGACUCCUACGGGAGGCAGCAGUGGGGAAUAUUGCACAAUGGGCGCAAGCCUGAUGCAGCCAUGCCGCGUGUAUGAAGAAGGCCUUCGGGUUGUAAAGUACUUUCAGCGGGGAGGCGUUACCCGCAGAAGAAGCACCGGCUAACUCCGUGCCAGCCGCCGCGGUAAUUC